rnacentral:lncRNA from 1 species
CGUUGCAUAUUAAGCUUAAGCACGUUUGUAGAACCAUUGACGCACCGAACAGAUCUAGACAAUCGCGAAUUUCGCUUGUAAAAUGUAAAUUCAUUUUUUACUAGGCGUCGUCCUCGGCGUCGUCGUCGUUGCUUAAGCUCCCUAUUAACUCGAUCACUGAAUUCAACGCUAUGAGUUGUAGAAAUUUGAACUUCGCCGGUUCAAGUUAUUCGCAUUGCACCUUCUGACGCGUGUGCUGUCCUUUUGAAAUAACGCCACCGGAAAUAAACAGAUUGCUGAGCCAUCAAUCAGAAAGUACACAUUGUAAGAGCUGUGUGUAAUAGGCCGUCUAUACCAAACUUCGCUUAAUUCGUCCAUUUUAAGCCUAUUGUAAUGCCACAACUAUUAGAGUUAUUAUAAGAAUUUCGUUGAGAAUUAAGAAUUUUAGGUUUAGCUUUUCAAGUUGUAAUUCAGUUAUCUGCAAGGAUACUAGUACUGUGACAAACGAAAAGAACACCUCAUGUACUAAAAAUAGUCCGCUAAAAAGCGUUUUGAAGACGUUGCUGUCGUUUGUUAAUACGGAUUGCUCGUAGAUAAACUUUCUCUCUCUGACAACUGUGAAGCUUGCACUUGUCACACUGAAUAAAUGAUGAAUUUGUUUGUCAGAAAAAUAGCCUUCGGCGGUCCGCUGAUGCGUUUAAAUAAGAUAGAUGUCUCUCAACAUGCUGGGUAAUAAUCAUUUUUUAACGUGGGUCACGCGAUCUUGUUGUCGAGGGAAGAAAAUAAGCGAGAACUACAAAAGACGUAUUAACCUUUCCGAAGAACUCACAUAGGCGACUCUUGAGGAACACGACAAAUAAUCGAUUCCUUCUCUACAUCGAGAAACUUCAUUUUAACCCGGCCAUUACAAAGUAACCAGAGAUGCACAAGUUAAUCAGCAAAGACAAUCUCAGCCGGCUGCUUCGCUUAACUCCUCUUAUCUUAGUCAUAGCUGGUUUUGUUUUAAUACUAGUGGGUACCACUGCUUCGUCAAAAAGCUGCAAGAUGACUGGUUCUGUGGUUGUAGCUGUCGGUGGAUUGUUAUUUCUUUUCUUGGCAGCCUGGAGUUCACGCCCAGACAAGUUUGUUGAAAACACAAAAUGCGAAGAAGUUGGGAUCGCAUCAGAACUCUACGCCAAUAGAACUGCCUUGAGCGCUGGCUCUAACGAUCAGCUGGGACCGACUCAUCACUUCGAAGUCAAAACACCGUCGGAAUCUCAGUCUUGGAAAGGAAUAAUACCUCCUUCAUACGAAGAAGCUGUUGACAAUAAUAGCGGUAUAGGAAAUUCGCAAACUAGCGCUGAAGUUGUACCAAGUGAUGCGAAGUAAUGGAGUGUGGACAACACGAUUCCUGCACCGCCGUCUUACGAAGAAAGUCAUGAAAAUGCGAAGAUAUUUUCAUAAUUCUCCUUAAUGGUUCUUAUAAAUUUACUGUAAAUAAAGACGUCCUCCUUGGAUAUGAAAAACGUCUGGGAGUUCUACUAGGAGUUCAAAGAGAUGACAAUCUCAACUUUACUGAGCACAUUAGCAAACUAUGUACUAAGGCAACCAGAGUGUGGAGUACGCUCUCCUCUUCGAAACUUAAUACCCUGCAAGGCUAAGCUACUACUGUAUAAACCUUUUAUACUGCCUUAUUUAACUUACUGCCACCUAACCGGGCAUUUUUGCAAGUCAUCAGACAAAAGGAAGCUAGAACGAAGACAAGAACGAGCCCUAAGGGUGAUAUAUAAAUCCCACUCCGAUACAUAUGAAGAACUUCUAAGACGUGCUGAUAUACCUUCUUUAUAUAAUAGACGGCUUCAAGAUAUCACAGAACUUAUGUACAAAGUCAAAUAUGGUCUUGUACCUGAUUGCAUGCGUUUCCGAUCUAUUUGUUUGCAAAGGCUCUACACACUCGCUGCGGAAUAGUGACUUCGUAUUACCACAUUUUAGAACUAUACGCCAUGGCAAACACUCCGUUAGAUAUUUCGGGCCAUACUUACGGUCUAAACUUACCGAAAAUCAAAGAGAUUCGCCUAGUUUACCUGUUUUUAUAAAAAAUAAGAAACUGAACCUUGCCGACAUUUUAACUAAGAACAGCAAUUGCUGUAAUCUUUGUAGCCAAUAGAAUUAUUUUAAUUUUUACAAUUUUAUCUUGUACAUAAACUAACAUAGGAUCUCUCAUACUCGUUCAGUUUUUAUCACUUUCCUGUAAAUAUUGAAAUUUUAUAAGUACGGUAUAUAUAUAUGUCAAUUAGUGUUGCUAUUUUACUAAUGUCCACAAUUAGUCUAUCUGGGCCAAACACAUGGACACUGUGAAAUAAAGGUUUUACUUACUCACUUA